UGCCCUCUCAUGCUUCCAGCUCAGAUAGAUCACCUGGGGAUCUUGUUAAAAUGCAGAUUCUGACUCAGCACGUCUGAGAUCCUGCAUCUCUAAUAAACUCCCAGGUGAUGCGGAUGCAUCUGAACGGUGAAACACCUCUUACACAGCAAGGAACCAGAGAACAGGUUGAAACACAGGUGAGCUGUGGGUCCAGUCAGAAAUAGGGAAGAGGUGGCCGCGGAUCACUGGGGAGGAGUGAACUCUAGGCACGCAGGCAUGCCCAGGUUAACCUUGGGGGCCAAGUCAGUGGACCAGAGGGCAUCCACAACAUGCUACCAGCUCUCAAACUCUGGGCUCCCUCUUUCCCCCACCCACAGACCCGCCCUUUUCUCGGGCUGUCUGUCCCGCCUCUUGGCCAAGUUCUGUCACACUUGAUCUUCCCUGAUGGCCUCUCAAUUGCUGCUGCGGCUUCGGUGUCCGCUCUGAAUUUUCUAAGAACUCGGGACUGUGCACUUGAACCCUUCUGAUGUGAAGCACUCAGGGACUGCCUCAGUCAGAGUCCCAAGUGCCCGGGCAACUCCAAAGCAAGCGUCCUUCCAGACUCAUCCACCAUGUCUAGCUGUUCCAGAAAACCUGGGCUCAGAGUCGCCUGUCUUCAGUUCAAUAAGUGAAAGCCGCUCUUAAUCAUAAGAUGCUCAUCCGUACAGUCCUGAUUAAUUCCUAGACAUCUUCUAAAGCCCCGCCCCCAGGAAGAGGAGAGGUCCCUUACUUCACAAUUAAUCCCAUCCAAUAUAACUCACUCAGAAACCAGUGGUCCUGCCCACGUUCAGUGAGGUUUUGUGUUUCCACACAGCCUUUGGUAUCUGAGGGCAGAGGGUGCGCUGAGCUCAUAUAGCACCAGCACCACCAAGCUUUUAUCUGUGCCAGCACCACUCUGAGAGCUUCCCAUUUAUAUUAACACGCUUAAUCUUACCACGUCCCUUUGACGUAAAUACGAUUAUGAGCACCCUCAUUUGACAGAUAAGGAAACUGAGGCACAGAGAGAUGAAGUUUUGUGAGCAUGUCACACAGCGUGUAAGUCAGAGCCAACAUCCUAAUCCGGCUCCUGAAUACGCUUAACCUCUCUGUUUGCCCGGCUCCUCUACCCUAUGUGUGAUUUUUGAACGCUGUUCUAAUUCUAAGGCUCCGUGGGACUGUCCCAGGGGCUAUCUGGAGGGCAGGGGAAAGGGGAGCAUAUGGGGGCUAUGUUGGAAACCUAGGGGGCUCAGGAGCAACACUUCGGUGUCUUCUGCCUAAGUUUGGAACCAGCUGAGGCAUGGAAACACAUUUCACACAGCGGAAAUACAAAUUUCUCCUUUCUUACCGGUACGCCCUUUGAGAAACGUAGCUCUGCCAUCUGGUCACGUGGGCCUGCCAGGAGUUCACCCGGAAGGGGACGCUGCAGCCUUACCGGCACGAGGGCAAAAAAGCACACGGGAGAACGGAGCCAGAUUCUGACGGCUGCCCAUUCACGCUCAGUCCCUUCCUCCCAGCUCCCAGUCUGAUAAGGGAGGGUGUGGAGAGCAGGAGACACGGCCCUCCUCAGCCGCGUGGGCACAUGGGAAUCACCUGGGAGCUUCGAAAACCAUUGGUGUCUGGGUCCCACGUCUAGACAUUCUGAUUCAAUUGGCCUGGCUUGGAAUGCAGUCUGGGUCUGAGGCUUUGCAACUCCCGGGGUGAUUCCGAUGUGAAGCCAGCGCUGGGAGCCACCCCCUCGUGGAAGUUCCCCGAAAGGAAACACUGGGAGGGGAGGUCUCCCCUCAGCUGAAGCAACGGGCCCUGCUCCACACUUCGCUGUGUUAGAGACUGAGACUCAGGCACAGAACAGGCACUCAAUAAUGAUUUGCUGGAUGAAUGAAUGGAUGGAUGAAUGAAGAAUCAAAGAGUCAGGAAGCUUUCUACUGAAGGAUAUAUGUUGAGACUAAGAUAAAAGAAAAAUAAAAGGGAAUAGUUUUAUCAAGGAAAAAUUAAAUAAGGGGAGGAGGCAAAUCGUUGGCUUUCUCUUUGGAGUCACGAGCAUAUACAUGCAGAAACAGAAAAAACAGGCCACAAAGACACAGAGAGGAGAAUGAGGCACAGAAGGACAUGGGGUGGAGGGGCAGAGGCAGUAAGAGAGGCUCGGACAACAGACCCGAGCCUGCUCUCCACUCGGUUUAUGGGCAUCUGAGUCCGUUUUCCCUGAAAUAGCUUUGAAAUAUCAAUAUCUCCAUUCCUUUCUGAAUUUGUAAGUAGCUUGGGGACUUUUAUUAUCAAACUGCAGAAUUUAUUCUUGAAAUAAAGAUUUGCUUUCCCUUGGAA